AGACAGCAGCCGCCACGGUAAUACGGAGGGAGCUAGCGUUGUUCGGAAUUACUGGGCGUAAAGCGCGCGUAGGCGGUUACUCAAGUCAGAGGUGAAAGCCCGGGGCUCAACCCCGGAACUGCCUUUGAAACUAGGUGACUAGAAUCUUGGAGAGGUCAGUGGAAUUCCGAGUGUAGAGGUGAAAUUCGUAGAUAUUCGGAAGAACACCAGUGGCGAAGGCGACUGACUGGACAAGUAUUGACGCUGAGGUGCGAAAGCGUGGGGAGCAAACAGGAUUAGAUACCCCCGUAGUCCCUGUCUCUUAUAC
rnacentral:rRNA from 1 species